GAGCUCUGAUCACGCGCCCGAACCCCGAACUCCGAACCCUCAACCCCGGCGCCGCCCCGAGUUAAGUGUGGUCGCUGCGGCGGAGGAGGAAGGGCGUAGGGCGUCGUGCUGGUGGUGGUGGUGCUGGUGAUCAUCUUCGUCGGUAUUAAUUUUCUACUGUGUGACACGACUACGAGGAGAGUCACAGCUGUCUUCAGGUGCCGCGUGCGAUGAGAAAGGCGGCAACAAUAACUUCUUGGAGAGGUCGCGAGGUUAUGCCGGCGGUGGGAGGAGAUGAAACUACACCCUUGAGGCGCGAGGACGGAGAGAGCGCCAUCUACCAACGACUGUAUAUACUAAGGAGAGGAAGGGAGGCUGGCAGGCGAAGUGGGCAGGAGAAGCAAGCCGCCGAACACUUAUUAUGUCAUGGUCCGGGAGCGAUGAUGAGAUCAAAAGAGUCUUUACACACAC